rnacentral:rRNA from 1 species
UUGUCGUCAGCUCGUGUCGUGAGAUGUUGGGUUAAGUCCCGCAACGAGCGCAACCCUUGAUCUUAGUUGCCAGCAUUUAGUUGGGCACUCUAAGGUGACUGCCGGUGACAAACCGGAGGAAGGUGGGGAUGACGUCAAAUCAUCAUGCCCCUUAUGACCUGGGCUACACACGUGCUACAAUGGAUGGUACAAAGGGCUGCAAGACCGCGAGGUCAAGCCAAUCCCAUAAAACCAUUCUCAGUUCGGAUUGUAGGCUGCAACUCGCCUACAUGAAGCUGGAAUCGCUAGUAAUCGCGGAUCAGCAUGCCGCGGUGAAUACGUUCCCGGGCCUUGUACACACCGCCCGUCACACCACGAGAGUUUGUAACACCCGAAGUCGGUGGAGUAACCGUAAGGAGCUAGCCGCCUAAGGUGGGACAGAUGAUUGGGGUGAAGUCGUAACAAGGUAGCCGUAUCGGAAGGUGCGGCUGGAUCACCUCCUUU